rnacentral:lncRNA from 12 species
UCCCUUAGAAACACUGACUUUCAAAAAUAGUAUCAAAUUAAUUCAGUUGGAGCCUGGUGAAGAAAGGCUACUAGCUGGAAUCAGCCAUAAAACUCCAGAAUUUUCAGCCCUAGAUCUCUGCUUCUUUUUCUAGGAGCCAAAUAGGAAUCAGAUUGUAUGGAAAAUGCCAUUGAUGGGAUUUUUUUUCCCCUUAAGAAAAGGGACCAAAUUAGAUUGCAAAACCCAGAACUGCUUUUUUUUCCCCCCUCCCCUCCUUUCCUCUUUUUUUUUUUUUUUUUUUUCUGAUCUAAAAAUAACCCCUUGCUUGAGCUGACUGCGGUAUCUUUUGUGUUGCAGCUCUCUAAAAACUGUUGUUUGGAGCAGUGUGGUCCCGGGGAGGGUGGAACUCAAGUGCAGAUAUCGAUCUAUUGUUAUUUGCAAAGCCGGGAAUUAAUUUUAAUAAAACAGGUGCACCUUGCGGUGGCAGUGGGUGAGAGGGAAGAGGGGGCACCGUGGGAGAGAUUUAUGCCAUUCACACUUCCCUGCUUCGUUUUUUUUCCAAUUCAUCUUUUUAAGAUAUAAUUCCCACCCCACGUGUCUCACGUGGCCUCUGACCAGCACAUGCAACCCCCAUUCAUACAAACACAAAGCACCAGCACAUCCACACUUGGCAGGGACAGCACGGUCACGGGCAAAGGCUCCGGGACAGUCCUUCCCGCGGCUGCUUGGCAGAGGGGACCCAGCCACGGCCCACCACAGCCGGGGUACGAGGCGUGGGCGGGCUUCACGGAGGGACCGGGUGCAGCAGUCCGCGGGGAACGCCCGACGCAGCGCCUGGCGUCAA